rnacentral:rRNA from 1 species
AUGUGCAUAGCUAAAUCCAAAGGCGGACUUGGUUUUAGAGAUUUUGAGACUUUUAAUGAUGCAAUGCUUGCUAAACAAGCAUGGAGACUCCUUGAAAAUCCUGAUAGUUUGUGUGCUAGAGUGCUCAAGGGUAGAUACUACCCAAAUGGGGAUUUUUUGACGGUUGGAUGUCUGGCGGGUGCAUCAAAAACAUGGCAAGCAAUUAUUGAGGGAAGGGAGAUGCUCAAAAGUGGACUUAUUUGGCGUGUGGGAGACGGGACGACGACGGAAGUGUGGCAUGAUCAGUGGAUACAAGGCACCUGUUCGAUGAAACCCAUGGGCGCACGGUCUGCUAUCUCUGUUCAGUUGGUCUCUGACUUAAUUGACCCCGUGUCAAAUCAGUGGAAUUCAAACCUCAUCGAAGUUGUGUUCUACCCUCCAGAUGUAGACGCAAUUCCGCAUAUGCCAAGACCACAGCGAGCAGGGCCUGAUAUUUGGGCCUGGGCCUGGGAGAAAUCGGGACUAUUCUCUGUUCGCUCCGCCUAUAGAGAAACCAUGGAGAGGAGGGUAAGAGAAUCAGUGCAAGUGGAAAGCUCUAAUGGGGAAGGCGAAACAUGGUGA